CGGCGCCAACGAGGGCGCUGGGGUAGGGGUCUUCCCGACUUCUGUGCCGUAGCUAACGCAUUCACCGCCCCGCCUGGGGAGUACGGCCGCAAGGCUAAAACUCAAAGGAAUUGACGGGGGCCCGCACAAGCGGCGGAGCAUGUGGAUUAAUUCGAUGCAACGCGAAGAACCUUACCUGGGCUUGACAUACACCGGACCGGGCCAGAGAUGGUCUUUCCCUUGUGGCUGGUGUACAGGUGGUGCAUGGUUGUCGUCAGCUCGUGUCGUGAGAUGUUGGGUUAAGUCCCGCAACGAGCGCAACCCUUGUCUUAUGUUGCCAGCACGUAGUGGUGGGGACUCAUGAGAGACUGCCGGGGUCAACUCGGAGGAAGGUGGGGAUGACGUCAAAUCAUCAUGCCCCUUAUGUCCAGGGCUUCACACAUGCUACAAUGGUCGGUACAACGCGUUGCGACACUGUGAGGUGGAGCUAAUCGCUGAAAGCCGGCCUCAGUUCGGAUUGGGGUCUGCAACUCGACCCCAUGAAGUCGGAGUCGCUAGUAAUCGCAGAUCAGCAACGCUGCGGUGGAUACGUUCCCGGGCCUUGUACACACCGCCCGUCACGUCAUGAAAGUUGGUAACACCCGAAGCCAGUGGCCCAACCCUUGUGGGGGGAGCUGUCGAAGGUGGGAUCGGCGAUUGGGACGAAGUCGUAACAAGGUA
rnacentral:rRNA from 1 species